rnacentral:rRNA from 1 species
UACGAAGGGGCUAGCGUUGCUCGGAAUCACUGGGCGUAAAGGGUGCGUAGGCGGGUCUUUAAGUCAGGGGUGAAAUCCUGGAGCUCAACUCCAGAACUGCCUUUGAUACUGAAGAGCUUGAGUCCGGAAGAGGUGAGUGGAACUCCGAGUGUAGAGGUGAAAUUCGUAGAUAUUCGGAAGAACACCAGUGGCGAAGGCGGCUCACUGGUCCGGUACUGACGCUGAUGUGCGAAAGCGUGGGGAGCAAACAGG